CCCCAUACAUCUGUUAGAGCUCCAGACUUGUGUAUCCAGCUGCCUUGUGAUGUGCAUGUUUUCUGUUUGCCCUUCCAGAUCCACUCUGUACUCCUGGUGACCCUCCUCUCUGCCCUGGCACUUUGACCUUGUCAACUACAUCAGCAGACUCUCUGACUUCCAGCUGGACUUAGCCAACAGAACUUUCCAGCAGGAGAUUGAAAGCCCGAUGGUGACAGCCAGUGGUUCAACAGGGUUCUCAAAGGGCACAAGGAAACACUCAGAGCGAGGGAUGGAGCCAACUCAAGGAGACGGAAGGAACAUUUCAAGAAACUAAGAGGUGAGCAGAUGCUUGCAGAAACCAAAGAGCUGGAGUUAAGGAUAGAAGCUGGCUAUAAACUGUGAAUCCCAGAUGAAAAGGGAUAAAGUGACCGACCAGAAUGCACCCUGGCCUUCCUGCUUCACUGGA